GUCCACGCCGUAAACGAUGGAUGCUAGCUGUGAGAAGUAUCGACCCUUCUCGUAGCGAAGCUAACGCGUUAAGCAUCCCGCCUGUGGAGUACUGUCGCAAGACUAAAACAUAAAGGAAUUGACGGGGACCCGCACAAGCGGUGGAGCGUGCUCUUUAAUUCGAUGGUAAGCGAAGAACCUUACCAGGGUUUGACAUCCUUAGAAUUUUGCCGAAAGGCGAGAGUGCUUUAUUGAGCUAAGUGACAGGUGUUGCAUGGCCGUCGU
rnacentral:rRNA from 1 species